AAUAGAUACCCAGGUAGUCCACGCCCUAAACCAUGUCAACUGGGUGUUGGGGAAGCGAUUCCCUAGUACCGUAGCUAACGCGUGAAGUUGACCGCCUGGGGAGUACGGCCGCAAGGUUAAAACUCAAAGGAAUUGACGGGGACCCGCACAAGCGGUGGAUGAUGUGGAUUAAUUCGAUGCAACGCGAACAACCUUACCUACCCUUGACAUGUCUGGAAGCCUGCUGAGAGGCGGGUGUGCCCGAAAGGGAACCGGAACACAGGUGCUGCAUGGCUGUCGUCAGCUCGUGUCGUGAGAUGUUGGGUUAAGUCCCGCAACGAGCGCAACCCUUGUCCCUAGUUGCUACGCAAGGGCACUCUAGGGAGACUGCCGGUGACAAACCGGAGGAAGGUGGGGAUGACGUCAAGUCCUCAUGGCCCUUAUGGGUAGGGCUUCACACGUCAUACAAUGGCCGGUACAGAGGGUUGCCAAGCCGCGAGGCGGAGCCAAUCCCAGAAAGCCGGUCGUAGUCCGGAUUGCAGUCUGCAACUCGA
rnacentral:rRNA from 1 species